rnacentral:rRNA from 1 species
UGAUCGUGGCUCAGGACGAACGCCGGCGGCGUGCUUAACACAUGCAAGUCGAGCGGUAAGGCCCUUCGGGUACGACGAGCGGCGAACGGGUGAGUAACACGUGGGUGACCUGCCCUUAGCUCUGGGAUAAGCCUGGGAAACUGGGUCUAAUACCGGAUAUGACCUCAUGACGCAUGUUGUGGGGUGGAAAGCCUUGUGCGGCUAGGGAUGGGCCCGCGGCCUAUCAGCUUGUUGGUGGGGGAUGGCCUACCAAGGCGACGACGGGUAGCCGGCCUGAGAGGGCGACCGGCCACACUGGGACUGAGACACGGCCCAGACUCCUACGGGAGGCAGCAGUGGGGAAUCUUGCGCAAUGGGCGAAAGCCUGACGCAGCGACGCCGCGUGAGGGAUGACGGCCUCGGUUGUAAC